rnacentral:rRNA from 1 species
UACGUAGGGGGCAAGCGUUGUCCGGAUUCAUUGGGCGUAAAGCGCGUGUAGGCGGCCAGGUAGGUCCGACGUGAAAACUGGAGGCUCAACCUCCAGCUGUCGUUGGAAACCAUCUGGCUAGAGUCCGGAAGAGGAGAGUGGAAUUCCUGGUGUAGCGGUGAGAUGCGCAGAUAUCAGGAAGAACACCAAUGGCGAAGGCAGCUCUCUGGGACGGUACUGACGCUGAGACGCGAAAGCGUGGGGAGCGAACAGG